AUGCUUGCUUUGGCAGCUUGGAUAUUAAAAUUGGAGCCACACAGAGAUUAGCAUGGCCCCUGUACAAGGAUGACAUGCAAAUUUGUGAAGCGCUCCAUAAAAAA